UGUCGUUGACCUGCAAGAAUCUGCUCUUAAUGAUGCUGAAUAUUGACCCAAAUGAAAGAUUUGCAAUGAGUGUGAGUUUCAAUGUUAUUUCACCAUUUCCUUUUCAUCCAAAAUCUUGACUUUCUCAUAUCCAUAACAAUUUCUGUAAAUCAUAUUUGCAAUGAGAACAUAAAUUGUGAAGAAUAAUAAAGGAGUGAUGUGAAGUUUUGGUGCAUUUAAUUUUCAGUGAUUUGUCUCGCAGGAUAUAAUAAAUAGUCAGUGGAUGAACAAGAGUGAGACAGCAUUGCAUCCUGAUAAUGAAGAAACAAGCAUCCCUCCACAAGAAAAAAGUUCAGAUCUGGCAUUGGAAGCAGAUCGAAAAACGGAAGAGCACAUGUGGGAGUGUGCUCUUGAGAGAAAACAGAAAGAAAAGCCGGCAGAGGAAAUUCUACUUGAGCAACGAUGGAUCCAUCUGGAGUGUGACAAAAGGAUGUUGAAAGAGGAGAGAGAAUGUAUGUUGGAGAAAUGGCAGCAGGAUCUUGAGUGUCGAGAAAGAGAGAUGGAAAGUUGGGUAGAUCAAAAUCUGAAGCGACAGCAGACUCAAAGGGAGUUGGAAACCAAGAUUGGGGAGAUGAUUGAGGAAGAAUGGCAGAAAUUAAUAUGCCGAGAAGAGAUGAUGGAAAGGAAGGAACAGCAAAUGCGGGAACACAUGAAAUGUGUUAAACAAAAGUUGGUAAAGAUAAAUGGAAGGCAGGAGGCACGAGAACAAGAGCAGGAAAAUUGGGCACAGAAGGUGAUAAAGGAUUUGGAAAUGGUGGAAGAAAAAUUGAGGAAAGAAGCUGCAAGGCAACAGGAUCUGUGGACUGAGCUGCAAAAGCAGCAGAAUUCAUUGCAGUUUCAAGAAAUAUUAUUGGAGGAACAGCGGAUGGAAUGGGAUGAGCAAAAGCGCAAUGAAAGAAUAAGGCUUCAGAACGAGCAGGCCGCCAAGGUAAGUUACACGAGAAGCACAACCUAGUACAAGCGGUUGUUGUUUGACUUUAUAAAGUGACGUUUAUGGUGGAACAGGGCUUUGUUUUGUGCUCUCAGUGAUCAGUGCAGUUGAUGUCAUGUUCACAAUGGUUAAG
ensembl:lincRNA